UGUGCCAAGCGUGUAUGGGAGAACUACGACGGUGGCUGACCCAAAAACGCGAAAACAUGAAUGUCCCUAUCUACAGCCAGUGUUUGUUUUGUCCGUUCUGGGCUACUGUUGAAACAUGGUGGAGCAACAUGGUGGAAUC